AAUUACAAAACUGAGCCUUGGAACAUUUCAGGCCUGGCACGGAAUGCAGUUUUUACACAACUUAAUUCUCAAUCGCAAUCCUCUGACUACUGUCGAAGAUCCAUAUCUCUUUGAACUGCCGGCAUUAAAAUAUCUAGACAUGGGAACAACACACAUCACACUUACAACACUUAAGAACAUUCUCACGAUAACUGUUGAACUGGAAAAACUGUAAGUUAUUUUUUCUUAGAUUUAUUUUUACUUAGUUGGUUUUUUAGGUUUGUUUUAUUAUUUUCUUAAGUCAGGUUUAUUGAGAUUUAAUUUUCAUAUAACAUUCACCCUUUAUAAGUGUAUAGUUUGAUGAGUUUUGACAAAUGUGUAGUUACAUAACCACCACCACAUUCCCAAUAUAAAGCAUUUCUGUCACCUCAGAAAGGCCCCUCAUUUCCCUUUGUAGGCAAUCCCUUCCUCCCACCAUCAGCCCCUGUUAGCUACUAAUCUGAUUUCUGUUCCUAUAGUUUUGUCUUUUUCGGAAUGUCUUAUAAAUGAAAUCAUGUAGCAUGUAGCCUCUUGUGUUUGACUUCUUUCACUUAGUAUUGUUUUUUAUUUUUUUUGAGACGGAGUCUCACUGUCACUCAGGCUGCAGUGCAGAGGCAUGAC
rnacentral:sRNA from 1 species